rnacentral:ncRNA from 2 species
UUCUUAUCCAGAGAGGUGGAGGGGGGGCAGGCCCUUAGAAACCUCGGCAACAGGUUUUGAAUCGUAAACACUGUGCCAAAUCCUGCGGGAAAUAUCUAUAGGAACCCGAAAGAUAAGAA